rnacentral:tRNA from 2 species
GGGGCUGUAGCUCAGUUGGGAGAGCGCCUGCUUUGCAAGCAGGAGGUCGUCGGUUCGAUCCCGAUCAGCUCCA